UAUCCAAAACUUCACUUUUCACAGCCCUGUUGCCGAGACUCUGGUCGAGUGGUCCUCCAGUUCUAAGUUCCAGGUAGUUGUGCCUGUCUCCCUCCUCGGGAAGCUUUCUUCGAGAUUUUUGUCUUUUUGCAUUUUUUGCUUCCUUCGCUUCCUUUGGACCUUCUUUCUUCUUCUUCUUCUUCAUCCUCCGACCUCAGUUCUAGCAUCAUGACCAGAACCUCUCCACGAGGAAGUCAGUCGGGGAACCCGACCGACGACUCACGAUCGACCCCGGAGGUGGAGGUUUCUUCACUUU
rnacentral:lncRNA from 1 species